UACUGCUGCAUCUACCGAGCGUCGCUGUGUGUACUGCUGCAUCUACCGAGCCGUCGCUGUGUGUACUGCUGCAUCUACCGAGCCGUCGCUGUGUGUACUGCUGCAUCUACCGAGCCGUCGCUGUGUGUACUGCUGCAUCUACCGAG